AUUGAACGCUGGCGGCGUGCUUAACACAUGCAAGUCGAUCGGUAACGCGGGGGCAACCCUGGCGACGAGAGGCGGACGGGUGAGGAACGCUUGGGAAUCUGCCUAUCAGCGGGGGACAACACGGGGAAACUCGUGCUAAUACCGCAUACGCUCUACGGAGGAAAGCCGGGGACCGCAAGGCCUGGCACUGAUAGAUGAGCCCAAGCCGGAUUAGCUAGUUGGCGGGGUAACGGCCCACCAAGGCGACGAUCCGUAGCUGGUAUGAGAGGACGCUCAGCCACACUGGAACUGAGACACGGCCCGGACUCCUACGGGAGGCAGCAGUGGGGAAUAUUGGACAAUGGGGGAAACCCUGAUCCAGCGACGCCGCGUGGGUGAAGAAGGCCUGCGGGUUGUAAAGCCCCUUCGGUAGGGACGAAAGCUCUCGACCUAACACGUCGGGAGGUUGACUUAACCUACAAAAGAAGCACCGGCUAACUCUGUGCCAGCCGCCGCCGUAACAC
rnacentral:rRNA from 1 species